rnacentral:lncRNA from 1 species
AAGAUGGAGUCUAGGGAACAGUCGAGAGUCACGCAAAUGUUAGAGGUGCCCUUGGCCUCAUGAGUGGUCGGUAGAAGGCGGCUGCAAGGAGCCUUUGAAAUGGUGCCGAGUUCUUCCUCUGCCAGAAAGCCUUUCCUCCGCGCUGACUGUGUCAAAGGCUACUCCCAGAGCACUCCAAUCAUUGUUCAAUGGAAGACUUAAAAGAAGCCCUGUGACUCGGGCUCAAAUCUGAAUAAGAUAGUUUCGAAGGAGAAGGAAGAGAAGUUAGAUAAAGAUGAGAAUUCAGAGGCGGAGAAGUAAGAUGAUCAACAGUUGCCUGCCUUGGACUUUGGAGUUCCCAAGAACUAGAAAAUCCAGGUCAGGAACUGUAUCUUUGCUCAGCCACCUGCAAACAGACUUGAGAACAAUGUAAACCACCCUCUGCAGGAUAUUGAUUCUGAUGGAGUAAAUGUUGAUUAAGCAGAAUGGUGUUUUUUUUUUUAACUGGAGGAAUUCCAGAUCUUUCCUUAGGCCUGUCUCUCCAGGGAAAUGAGCUCUAGCCUUAAAAAUCUACAGAAAACCUGAGUAAGAAUGAAGAUUUAUGAUGGGAGACGCUGGGCGGAAGACGGCUGGCUAUCUGGUGGGCUAUCUAGAAGCUCAUCUUUGUGUUAUUAGAGAAACACUCCCGCUCUUGACAGGAUAUGGUCUGCUUAUCACAUAAUCUUCUCAAGUUUCAUUCCCAUUCUGCUUACAAAUGCCCCAAAUAUAAAGAGAUGCAUUUCAUCAAGACAGCCUUUUAAGAGGCAGUUGAUCCCAGCUGUUGCCGUCUAUCUUAAACACCUACCUUUUCACCCUAGUGUGGAGUUUACAUGUCGAUAAGCGAUGUAAAAAAGGGAACUUGAGAAAUCUCAGCAGAGGAAAAACACCGAGCCUGUCUCUGG